GUAGCAUCCGCGUCAUCUGACCACUUUUCUAUUGAGCGAGAAACUAGUACUUCCGUGGAACAUGAACCAAUUGGACUACAUUAUCUAUGGAUGUAAUAUUUCAUCAUCAUUCUUUAUCAGACACUGUUUCUAUGGUCCCAUGUACCACUUUUCCAGACCAUGUUUUCACAUUUGACAUUACUGUACACUCACCGGCCACUUUAUUAGGUACACCUAUCUAGUACUGGGUAGGACCCCCUUUUGCCUCCACAACAGCAUGAAUUAUUCACGGUGUUGUACGUUAAGAGAUGCCCUUCCGCACACCUUUCUGUUAGCUUGAAUGAGUCUGGACAUUCUCCUCUGACCUCUCUCAUUAUCAAGGUGUUUUUCCCACAGAACUGCCGCCCACUGAAUGUGUUUUGUUUAUCGCACCAUUCUCUGUAAACUCUAGAGACUGUAGUGCGUAAAAAUCCCAGGAAGGCAGCUGUUUCUGAGAUGCUGGAACCACCAUGUGUGGCAUCAACAAUCAUAUCACGGUCAAAGUUGCUUAGAUUUCACAUCUUGCUCGUUCUUAUGUUUGGUCGAACAACAACUUGAGCUCUAUACUCUAUAUACUCUAUAUAUUGAGUUGCAGGCAGCCACAUGAUUCGCUGUUCGAAGGGGCAGGCUAUUUGCCUUAACAUGCAGGUGUACCUAAUAAUGUGGCCGGUGAGUGUAUGUAUGCAGGCCCUUCUAAUUGCUUUUCCAAUACUACCAACUCGUUCCUGAUGAUUGAUUUCACAUUGUGGUACGAGUAUAUAGUGAAAUGAGUGGUAUCCACCUACAACAACAUAGUGAUAACAUGGAGCCGGCAGGUGAUCCAGGUCACAAUAGAGGUCAAGCAGUGGGAGGAGGAAGACGAGGAAGACGUGGUGGUCAAAGGAAUGGCAGGGGACAAGCACCCCUUCUGAGAGGUGGUCGUGGGCCUCGUUGGAGAGGUGUGGGGAACAUGGUAGAGGACACGGCCACGGACCAAACACCCCUUUUGAGAGGUGGUCGUGGGCCUCGUUG
ensembl:lncRNA